AAUGGGAUUGCUGGGUCAUUUGGUAGUUCUAUUUUUAAUUUUUGAGGAACUUUUACACUCUUUUCCAUAGUGGCUGUACUAGUUGACAUUCCCACCAACAGU
rnacentral:pre_miRNA from 1 species